rnacentral:lncRNA from 1 species
CAUUGUGGUUGUUCCAAUGUCGAUUGCACUUCCAUCAGCCACCCUGAGCCUGAAACAGUGGCUUCUUUUAGCUCUUCCAAACACCAGCUGUUUUUCUACCUUUUUCAUUUUACUUGUACUCUCUUUUGCUCUGUUCUUUGUAUGUUGAAGAUGAGAAUCCAAAGCACCAACGCCUACACACUGAAAUAAAUAUUAUAUUCUAUUAUAUUAUGUAGCUAUAUAGACAGAGGGCAGCACUUCUGUGGCUCCGGUUCCGGCCUGGUCCCCAUGUUUCCCUCCGUCCAAAGACGACAUGUUUGGGUUAACUGGUGACUCUAAACUGUCUGUAGGUGUGAGUGUGAGUGGUUUUUGUCUCUCUCUCUCUGUGUGUGUUGGCCCUGUGAUGGACUGUGACCUGUCCAGGGUGCCCCCCCCCCCCGUGACCCAGAAACAAAAGCUGUAGAUGGAUGAAUGAAUAUGUGGAUUUAUACGUGAAUAUGUGAGAUAUGUGCCAAAGGCUGGGCCGUGCUGUGAUUUCCUGAAUGCUGGUUUGCUUCCUGUUGUUGGGAAAAGGGUUGUUCUUAAUGUACUGUAAUAACGUAACAGGAGCACCUCGAUGCUUUACCAAGACCAUUAUUUAUUACAUCGCCAUACACUGGAACAUCCCUGCCAUCUUUCUCAGGAACUGUGCUUCGCACGGACAAUCUGGCAGAGCCAAAGUUUCACUGGAUGCAAACCUUGUCAAUGAGAGCCAACAUCAGGACCUGAGGUCAGUGAGAGCAAGCCCCCAUCUGUGAGGAGCUGAUGUCGCUCAAGUGUCAAGGUAAGAAGUCUUCAGUCAAACUGCUUUUUCCACACAACCAGUAGAUCUGUCAAUAAGAUAAAAAAGGGAACUACAGCUCUACAGCAGAAUCUGAACUGAAGUACAUUUUAUCAGCAGUAUUUCUGACAUCAACGGGCUCUGACCAUGUGCUGGACGGAGUCAGGUAAAGCCUGAACUUUUCUUUAUUACAGAAUAACAGCAGCGCUCUGUUAGUUCACCUCACUUCCCAUCAACCCACCUCAGUGACUGAAGUGUCAUCUGCUUUAUUUACUGAUGGGGAUUCAGAAGGAGAGUCAACAAGAAACUGAAACCAUGUUCUUAGACACGACUCUCUGUCACUGCUUAAAAGACCCAGCCUGAGAUUCUACAAAUAUUCUGGAUAUUUCAUAACUAGAACUGGUUCUGUUAAUACGUU